rnacentral:rRNA from 1 species
CGGACGGGUGAGUAAUGUCUGGGAAACUGCCCGAUGGAGGGGGAUAACUACUGGAAACGGUAGCUAAUACCGCAUAACGUCGCAAGACCAAAGAGGGGGACCUUCGGGCCUCUUGCCAUCGGAUGUGCCCAGAUGGGAUUAGCUAGUAGGUGGGAUAACGGCUCACCUAGGCGACGAUCCCUAGCUGGUCUGAGAGGAUGACCAGCCACACUGGAACUGAGACACGGUCCAG